rnacentral:rRNA from 1 species
AGUAAUGUAUGGGGAUCUGCCUGAUGGCGGGGGAUAACUACUGGAAACGGUAGCUAAUACCGCAUAAUGUCUGCGGACCAAAGCGGGGGACCUCCGGGCCUCGCGCCAUCAGAUGAACCCAUAUGGGAUUAGCUAGUAGGUAAGGUAACAGCUUACCUAGGCGACGAUCCCUAGCUGGUCUGAGAGGAUGAUCAGCCACACUGGGACUGAGACACGGCCCAG